UACGUAGGGUGCGAGCGUUAAUCGGAAUUCUGGGCGUAAAGCGUGCGCAGGCGGUUAUUUAAGUCAGGUGUGAAAGCCCUGGGCUUAACCUAGGAAUUGCGCUUUGAGACUGGAUAGCUUGGAGUGCGGCAGAGGGAGGUGGAAUUCCACGUGUAGCAGUGAAAUGCGUAGAGAUCGGGAGGAACAUCAGUGGCGAAGGCGGCCAUCUGGAUCAACACUGACGCUGAGGCACGAAAGCGAUGGGG
rnacentral:rRNA from 1 species